GGCCCAAAUUUGAAGUGGAGUAGAUUAAAAAGAUUGGUUGACUUUGCUAAAUUACUCUACUUCAAGUUUGUGCCU
rnacentral:pre_miRNA from 1 species